CGUCAUUGAAAAUAGGACUUUCUUUUUCAACUCAUGUAUGCUCCUAGGCACAGAGUUCAUGCCACAUUAAUCCCUUCUUAACAAAUUUACUUUGAAAUGCAAUUUUAAGAGCCUUUGGAUAGAGUCCACCUUAUACAUACCAUUUGUUUCAUUCAGUAUUUUAAGGAGGAAACCCUGCAGCAGACGACCCCCAAAGCACAGGCAAUUGGAGUCCCCCAGCUACAGGUGUAAAUCCCAGCUAUGAAGCAAACACUGGGUGAAUAUGUGUGUGAAUUUUAGUUUCCACUGUCAAUAGUAACAUACUUGAGUUGUCAUACAACAAAUUAUCCCAUCACAGCCGAGAGUAUCAAGCCAAGUCCAUAAGUAGAACAAUCUUCCCAGCUUCCACAACUGAGAUUCACGAGCACAUUGCUCUCUCCAAUAAUUCUUGCAAUUCCCCACUCUUAUAUGCCUCUGUAAAAACAAAUAUACGUGGUCAAAACUCAAAACAUGAACCGGAAGACAUAAAUAGUUGUAAAUAUAAAGAUAGUUGUGUACUCAGAUCAAGCAGGCAUACCAUACCAAUUCUUUCCAGCAUAAACUGUAAUAAAAUAGGAAGAGGGAAGAAAUUCACCAAAUUGUGGUAAAACACGAUUCAAACUCUACUGAAUAAGUCUUGAAAGUUUAUGAUGCAAUAGAAAGAUGAAGUAAGACAAACAAAUAUAGGAUGACAUGUAAUUCAGAUCUUUAUCCCUGCAGACCAUGUAUGAUGUUAUCUAUAAGCCAUCAAAUACCUUCACAGAUUCUAGUUUCUACCAUGCAACAUCAAUCUUAGAUGUAAUGUCAUGAGACGAUUCACACCUAGAGUACAAAGCCCCUGGUGGAUAAAUGUUAAUAACAUUCUUGAGAAGAGGCAAAACUUCUAUAUCCCCUGCGAAAAGAAAAGGCUGAGCAAUACUUUGGUAAAUUCUCUAUAUGGAUCAUUUGGCUUUCAUCCCACAAACUUAAGAGCCAUGAGGGAACGAAGAAAACAAUAUUUCCCAACAUCUAAAUUCACAAGGUUUCGAUAUAUGAUGAAUAGGAAUGUUUAUCUUCAUAGGGUCUUAAGAUGAGGUAAUAUUUUAUGGUUUUAAAGCAACACAAAGCUACAUAUAUGUUUUAGCUCAUGUGCUUAGAUAUCUCAUAUAAUUAGCAAUGAAUUGGCCAAGUCCAUAUUUAAUGUGUACUCUCAACUCCCAAAAGAGUUCAGGAGCUUUGGUGCUUAACUACAAGCUCUCUCUAAUUUCGUGCCAUUGAUAUCCCUUUUCACAUUUUGUACAAGUUCAUAAGCAAAAUCAGGGCAUAGGGGGUUAUUGUUUACCCUCUCUCUUUCUCUCUACAAAAACACAAGUACUUGCAUACAAAUUAUUCACACAGUUUUAAUACAUUACAAGCAAAUUUGAUUACACGUGCAGUGGAUAACCAACAUAUUUUAAUUUAAUUAAAUCUUGAAAAUUGUAUUAGGGCUAAACAUUGAAUUACUAACACAAAAAGAGACCUCAAAAGGAAAACACUUAUUACCAUGUUCAUAUAAUUACAUAUGAAUAAAACAGGGGAACAAUAUUUCGAUAUGAAAUGUUUCUUUUGAUCAUUAAAUGCACAAUCAGACGACAUAAAUAUAUUGGGUACAAUACAUAUCUUACCUCAUCAGGAACAUGUAGGGGCAAGUAUUUUUGAUUGGGUAAAAUUACAAUCACAGCAAAUCAUUGUUCGGAUUUCUUUUUUAAGCUCUUUCCUCAACCAUGAUCCUGUAAUAGGAUAUGUACAAUUUCACAUGCCACUCAUAUUUUAAACAGAUUUUGAUCUCAGGCAAUAUUCAAUUAUUCAUUGUACACACAAACUUAUCGAUUCUGCUAACUUAUAUUAUGCCAGGAUCACAGUUUGUACCUCUGAUAUUCAGGGUACAAUGUGAAGCCAAAGAAUAAACAAAGAACACCACAUUUCUCCAUGAAGGGAAAGCAUACACUGAACAACCAUAUAAUAGAUUCAAACUAGUACCUAUUGAAAUGUCAGUAACACAUACUGAAACUCUCCAAGAACGCAUAAAUUCCUGUGCAAUAAUCGAGUCCUUGUUGGGCAAAAAUAACAACAAAUGCUUUUUGAUGGCCAGCAAUACACCUCAACUCAACUCCACUCUAACGGUUUUGAGUUAAGUCUCGUUGUACUACUCUCCUGUACUACUCUCCUCUCUCCUCCAAGUCCUCCAAGUCAAUUUAGGUCCACCUUUUUUUUCUUUUUCUAUCUAACUAAUGUGCUCUAUUUGUGUAAGAGACUCUGUAUGUCUACGCUUGGAGCCUCCUCCCUGCGUCUGCUUGUGACCAAACCACUGUGUUUCUCCCUUCUCUCGACUUAUGGCUCUACCCUUUCUAUAUAAAUUGAAUUAACCAUUUUCCAGUAUGAUUAAAACUGCAAUAUAAAACUGAACUUACCAACAGUGAUAUCACAGCCACCGUAGAACUCUCCAUCUAUAUAAAGUUGAGGAAAGGUUGGCCAAUUGGAAUACUCCUUCAAUCCUUGACGCAGAACUUCAUUCUCCAGUAUGUUAAUUGUUUCAUAAGGCACGUUCAACGAAUUCAAUAUUUGCACUACAGUGUUAGAAAAUCCACACUGAGGGAAAUCUUUAGUACCCUUCAUGAAAAGAACAACUUUCUGCGACGUAACAACUUUAUCCAGCGUAUUCUUCAGGUCGGGAGACAAAGCGCAACGGAUGGAGGUGAUUCUAGAGGGGGUGGAGCUGACUCUGAAAGCCAGCUUACCCGGUACAGUGGAACGCAGAGGAAAGGAGAGGGAGCGAGAGCCAGAGUUCAGAAGUGGAGGAGCAGCCGAUGUGAUUUUGGUCGGCGAGGAAGAAUAUGGUGUUGUGAUUCUCGAUGAUAGCGAGAACAGAGAUUGCGCCGCCAUGGUAGCUGAGCUCACCAGUCACCACACAGCUUCCGCCAUCCCUACUCUCUCUUCAGAUUUGUUUUUGGGCCUUGAGACCCAAAGCACAAUGGUCCGUAAGUGGAGGGAUUUUUAGGCCCAGUUUACUAGCUGAACAGAAACACCACCAGUAGCGAAACAGCAACUGGGGAGUGGAGCGAAAAUCCGAAAAAGGAUAUCCACCGGCUGAUCUCAUUCAUGUUUCAUCCAAAGCCUAAGGCCACGCUCACACUACCCACUGCCCACUCAAGAAUGGUCAUCCGUCGGAACCAUGUCUCUCUAACGGCCGUUUGAUGAAAGCUCAAUCAGCAUCGUCAGGCCCAAGCUUCGCUGGGGGAAUUACAGGGCUCCGUCUCUGGAUGAUUGUUAUUAUUAUUAUUAUUAUUCUGGAGGCGGCGGUGGAGGUGGUCCGUCCGGGAAGGCGGCUGGUGGUCGGACUGCUGGUGGUGGUAGUAGGAGGAGAAGUAGAUAAAGAAAGAGAUAGAGUUGAGAGCGAAUAGGGAGAGAACGAUCUUGAAAAGCUUUGACUGAAUCCUGUUCAUGGUUUUUUUUUUUACAGGAAAAAGAGAUAUUUUUUCUUUUUGGAUUUCGUUUCUCUCUCCAAAACCAGGGUCAAUCUCGCGCGCGCUCUCUCUCUCUCUCUUCUUAACCAAACACAAAGUUAAUUUUUUUAACCAAACACAAUGUUGAUCUGUUAGUGUGCAAGGUGGUUUUCUUCGGUUUUCUCUGAUUGAAGCAUAGAAACUCAGCUAAAAUUUAUGCAAGUUGUUUGUUGAUGCUUGAAACACUUUCUAUAUUUGAUUUAUAAUAAAUGGGUUACCACCUGAAGCUAUAACUACAAAAUAUUGUGUGUGGCUGCAACAAUAUCAUACUAGUCUCAUCCUAUUUUUAAUGUCAUUAUAUUGACACUAGAUGUAUGUGUAUGCAAUUUUCUGGGAAGAGGAGAAAAAAUAAAUCAAGAAUUUUCCUAUAGGAUAUUGUACCUAUAAUUGGAACAAGUUAUUUCCAUUUUGUUGUAUAUAGGUUCAGUGAACAUAUCUGUGUCUCUCUGUCUACUUCAUAUUAGUUCUCACUAACAAAUAUGAGUACAAAAAUCUCUUUUCCCAUUUUCCUAAUAACUUUGCUUUUUUCCUUUUCCUCAUAUUGCUAAAUCAUUUUGUUUUUCUCUGCCUCAUUCUGUCCUCUUGUAGGCCUUGCGAGCAAACGCUGAUCAGGCCAUCUUAAGCAAG
rnacentral:misc_RNA from 1 species